UACGUAGGGAGCGAGCGUUGUCCGGAAUUACUGGGUGUAAAGGGAGCGUAGGCGGGACAGUAAGUCAGGUGUGAAAUCUAUGGGCUCAACCCAUAGCGUGCAUUUGAAACUACUGUUCUUGAGUGAAGUAGAGGUUGGCGGAAUUCCUAGUGUAGCGGUGAAAUGCGUAGAUAUUAGGAGGAACAUCAGUGGCGAAGGCGGCCAACUGGGCUUUUACUGACGCUGAGGCUCGAAAGCGUGGGGAGCAAACAGGAUUAGAUACCCCCGUA
rnacentral:rRNA from 1 species